CUCGGCUUGGUGACUCAGUAUCACUCUAAUAUAUUGAUUCCAAGGUUUUUGACCCUUCCGAAGUUGUUUCUGCCCUUAGUUUUACCAUCCGACGACAUAUUUAACCACUGAGAUUAUCUCGUUGUGAGUGACUUCAACCAAGACCAUCGAGGUAAAGGCAAGACGCCAAUGUACGUUGACGGCGGAGCUGA